CAAAAAAAGCGAAAUCCUCUCCCUCUCUACCCCCCUCACCCUCUCCUCUCUCUCCCUCCCUCUGAGCUGCUGCUUCCGGUACUGCCUGUUGCAGCAAGACCAGCAGCGGACGAGAUCGAUCGAGUUGGCUUUCGUGUCCAAUCCAACUAUUCUGUUUGGUUGGUGGGAAAAUCCCUACUCCCUGUUCAUCCCCAAACCUUUAAAUCCACGCUUUCAAGAAAAUUUUGUUUUCUAAUCAUCUGACGCCACGCUGGCGUCCGCAUGACGUCAUACGGGCCGGUCCAUGGCUCUGUCGAUUUUAGGCUGGCCUGGAGACCAACUUGGGCUGGGUGCCAGCCUAUCUGCUGGGCUAGAGUGGAAUGGCUAGGUGCCGGGCCAAUAAUUUGGCUGGGUGCCGGCCUAUUUGUUCUCCGGUGGAAGUGCUCUGAGUUGAUACAUGCAAGUGCUUUAUGAUAAUAAUCUAAUAAAAAAACAACACAAAAAAUUCUAAUAACUAACAGACUCCAAUCUGUAUGUAUAACAGUGAAUGUGCAGUUGAUAAAGUUACGCUGACAAAUGAAAGCAAAAGUGGAGAAUUCCACUCAAAGAUUUCUAAGAGAUUGGAGCAAGUUGGAUCUCAAAUGUGUCAGCCAUCAUUGAUAGGAGCAAAAUAUCUCUCAUCUGGAACCAAAGGGAUUGAUACCAUGCGUCUACGUUAUGCAAUUGAGCAAGGGGGUUACUAAUGCCAAUGACUGCACAAAUUGGAAGCAAAUUGCCUGAGACUCCUGCGUUAGUUGAUAAAGAAACAAAAGCCAAACAUGUCAAAUCGGGAAGGUGAUGUUAAAAUCCAAGUAGUAUCAGCUGAUGACUUGAGGCAACAUCUUCCAGUAACCUUAUUGUUUUAAAUAAACAGAUUUGUAAAGUUUUUACUCUGACAUCAUAUUAUUUUGAAUCGCUUAAGAAAAAAGAUGACGUCAUUUUAGUUCAUAGAAAAUACAAUAAAGCUACUGACGAUGCUAAACAGCAGUGUCCUGUCCUUUGUAAUCAUCAACAGAGAGGAUUUCAAUUCUGACAGUGUACCCAGGAAGGCCAAACUGGUUGGGGAUUCACGGCUGUCUGAAAAAGAAGUAACAGAAAGGGAACCUGUCCUGGGAAGUGGAACGAGAAAAAGUCUUCAUGAUCUCAGGCAUGUGGAGAUUUCUAGCAGUCAAGCAAAUCCUUCCAGCUUAAUCGAGAAGACUAUUAAACCUAGUGCACAGACAUGAGACGUGUAAAUCCUAAAUCCAUGCUUUCAAGCCUGGAGUCUGUGAGGAACUCAAAGAUCAUUACAAUGGAAGGGAGUAAGCUUUGUCCUGAUAAACCUACCAAGAAGAAAACCAAGCUUUCUACCUUGAACAUUUCAAAGAAUAUUGGUGGCAGUAAAGUUUCAUCGAAUGCUUCCAGAAAGACCUGCGGAAAUUUCAAAGAACCUUCAAAAGUUGUUGUUUCAGUGCAGGUUUGCAUUCAUGAGAGUCAUGUGGGGAGCAAGUCUAACAGCACUUUUGACGACCAUACGACCUCUGGACUUGGUAGUCCUUGCGCGAUCUAUGUGAUGGAACUUGAUAUUCCUUCAGUAACGGAAAACAAUGGAAUUGUUGAAGAGGCUGAAGCGUACGCUAUGGACAAGGAGCUUGAAGAUGUUGACUCAAUUAUAAAUGAGUAACAAUAUCUUCGCCUUGCAACGGGCCAUUUAAAGGAGUCUCUUGAUGAAAUUGUUGAAGAACUUCAAAGACAGGAGGGCACUAAAUGCCUCUGCUUCUCCUUCCCAGGCUUUGCCUUGUUGGCUGUUGAUUCAAUGGUCACCGGCCCUGAACAGUAUCAAAUAUCUCAGUUGUGAACAACUCGUUGCAGACCAAAAUAUGUCGCUGUGGGGAUCUAUAUGAAUCCUUUCUCUUGAUUGAAGAUAAAGAGGAGCCAUAAUCGUGUUGUAAGAGCCUGCAAAGAUUUCAACAAGCAUCAAAAGUGCCGUAGAGGGUAUUCAUGCUAUGUUUGCACCGGCCCUGGAGAAGCACAUCUGGUAUAUUAUAAUGUUGAAAAGAAUGGUGCAACAUCCCAUGGUUCUACAGAGUUGAGCUUGGGUUUGCAUGUCAUGGGUUCCGGAGCACCCGUUGCAAUGUUGGAGCUAGCUUAUAAAUUUUUGGGUAGACGAGAUGGAGUCUUGCGUAAUGCCCGUCUACGUCAUUAUGGAAUAAAAGGGUCAGCUUGCAGGUCGGUGAGGAGGAAGCCAUAGAGGCGGUGUGUGCAGCCCUACACCUUGCAGGUCUUAAGAGCAUGAAAACUGGACCACCGUACGAGGUGCAUGUGUUCCGUAGAGGGGUACAAAAUUACUAAUGGGCUGUGCUAUUAACAGACGUUUGUUGGAAGUAGUGGGAUAUAACAAAGAAGUUGGUAUGUGGAAAGAGAAAUAUGGCAGUGCUUUAUUCGAAGGCGUUACUCAAGAGAGAACCUUUGGAAAAUGACCAUAACAAAGUAUCCUUUUGUAGAUGUUCAUAGGCACGGACACCCUCUCGCUCUUCUGGAAGGAGGAUACGUCCUACAUGUGGUUAAACUUAGGAGUGCUGGUAGCAUCGAGAAAAAGAUGCAACAUGCGGCGAUGUCUAGUGUAACUAUACUUGCGGAGUUUGUGGUGGAAAAUUCAGAACUUAGCCGAUCUCCCUUCUUUUUGGAUUAGUGAUUUGAUUCUUUUAGGCACUCCAACAAAUUGUCUCCAGCCCUCCUGAUAUAAACAUUCGACGUCACUUUUCUCUUGUCCAUCGCAUUUCAAUUUGCGGAAUUUGUGGUGGAAAAUUCAUAUUACAUUGAAAUGCAAGUUUUUGGAUUGAGUUUCACAAAGACGAUGGACAAGAGGAAAGUGACGUCGAAUGUUUAUAUCAAGAAGGCUGGAGACAAUUUGUUGGAGUGCCUAAAAGAAUCUAAUCACUAAUCCAAAAAAAAGGGAGAUCGAUUAUGUUCUGAAUUUUCCACCAUAAACUCCGGAAGUACAGUUACACUUGAUGUCGCCGCAUGUUACAUUGUUUUCUCGAUGCUACCAGCACUCCCAAGUUUAACCACAUGUAUGACGUAUCCUCCUUCCAGAAGCACAAGAGGGUGUCUGUGCCUACGAACAUCUACAAAAUGGUACUUUGUUGUGAUCAUUUUCCAAAGGUUUUCUCUGAGUAACGCCUUCGAAUAAAACAUUGCCAUAUUUCUUUUUCCAUACCAACUUCUUUGUUAUAUCCCACUGCUUCCAACAAACGUCUGUUAAUAGCAGAGUCUGUUCGUAAUUUAGUCCUCCUCUACGGAACACAUGCACCUCGUACGGUGGCUCAGUUUUCAUGCUCUUAAGACCUGCAAGGUAUAGGGCUCCACAUGCCGCCUCUAUGGCUUUCUCUUCACUGACCUGCAAGGUAUAUGUAGUUAUAUAAUUUUAUAGUGUUAUUUCAAUGGAUAAAUCUACAGACUUUAUGUGGGAUAUAUAGAUUUUUGAAAAUAGUUUUGAAUUCCAGUCAGGUUCCUUUCUCCAUAUACCAUCUAUGCUUCAGCAAGAGAGCUACUACGAGCAGUUGAAUGAGGCGCUUGGCGGUACAGAUCAUUCGUACAUUGUGGAUUAUUCUUCUUGAGCAAUUUUAUAUAUUUGUUUCCUUUUGGUAAAGAUUAAUUGGAUUACAAUUGCCAUUCAAAAAAUUAGGUGUAUAGAAGAAAGGUAGUAUCAUGCCCUGGAAAAUUGUAACUUGAUCUGAUUGCACGUAAGUUAAUUUGAAAAUCUCAUGAUUUGGCGUUAUAUAAGAUGAUAUUUUCUCUCUGACA